UACAGAGGGUGCAAGCGUUAAUCGGAAUUACUGGGCGUAAAGCGCACGUAGGUGGCUUGAUAAGUUGGGUGUGAAAUCCCCGAGCUUAACUUGGGAAUUGCAUUCAAGACUGUCUUGCUAGAGUGUGGAAGAGGGAAGCGGAAUUCCAGGUGUAGCGGUGAAAUGCGUAGAUAUCUGGAGGAACAUCAGUGGCGAAGGCGGCUUCCUGGUCCAACACUGACACUGAGGUGCGAAAGCGUGGGGAGCAAACAGGAUUAGAAACCC
rnacentral:rRNA from 1 species